rnacentral:rRNA from 1 species
UUCCGGUUGAUCCUGCCGGAGGUCACUGCUAUUGGGGUUCGGCUAAGCCAUGCGAGCGGAGGGCGCGGUCGCAAGAUCGUGGCCCCGCACACGGCUCAGUAACACGUAGUUAACCUACCCUCGGGACGGGGACAACGCCGGGAAACUGGCGAUAAUCCCCGAUAGGUGAGGGACGCUGGAAUGCUUCCUCGCUCAAAGCUCCGGCGCCCGAGGAUGGGACUACGGCCUAUCAGGCUGUUGGUGGUGUGACGGACCACCAAACCUACGACGGGUACGGGCGAUGGGAGUCGGAGCCCGGAGAUGGGGACUGAGACAAGGCCCCAGGCCCUACGGGGCGCAGCAGGCGCGAAAACUCCGCAAUGCGCGCAAGCGUGACGGGGGAACCCCAAGUGCCGUUGGUCUUUUGAUCGACGGCUUUUCGGAAGUCCAAUAAGCUUCCGGAAUAAGGGCUGGGUAAGACUGGUGCCAGCCGCCGCGGUAACACCAGCAGCCCAAGUGGUGGCCGCGAUUAUUGGGCCUAAAGCGCUCGUAGCCGGAUCAGCAAGUCCUUUGUGAAAUCGGGCCGCCUAACGGUUCGGCGUGCAAAGGAUACUGUUGGUCUUGAGACCGGGAGAGGUCGGAGGUACUCUUGGGGUAGCGGUGAAAUGCUGUAAUCCUAGGGGGACCACCAGUGGCGAAGGCGUCCGACCAGAACGGAUCUGACGGUGAGGGGCGAAGGCUAGGGGAGCGAACGGGAUUAGAUACCCCGGUAGUCCUAGCUGUAAAGCAUGCGGGCCAGGUGUCUAGCGCUCCUCGAGGGCGCUAUGUGCCGGAGGGAAGCCGUUAAGCCCGCCGCCUGGGAAGUACGGCCGCAAGGCUGAAACUUAAAGAAAUCGGUGGGGGAGCACCACAAGGGGUGGAACCUGCGGUUCAAUUGGACUC